rnacentral:rRNA from 1 species
UACAGAGGUCCCAAGCGUUGUUCGGAUUUACUGGGCGUAAAGGGUGUGCAGGCGGUCUGUUAAGUGGUGUAUGAAAUCGCCGGGCUCAACCGGGCGAGGUUAUGCCAGACUGGCAGUCUAGAGAGCGAGAGAGGGACGUGGAAUUCCGGGUGUAGUGGUGAAAUGCGUAGAGAUCCGGAGGAACCCCAGAGGCGAAGGCGGCGUCCUGGCUCGCAUCUGACGCUCAGACACGACAGCAUGGGGAGCGAACGGG